CCGCCCCCUCCGGAAGCGGAAGUCCCGCCUCUCUCGUAGCCCGCCCCUGACCCUAUCGCGGGGCGGGGGCAGAGUCCGCUGUCCGUCAGUGCAGCUGCAGUUGCGAGCAUGGCUGCCCCGUCUGGAGAGCAGAUUUACAGAGAGGUGCAGGAUUAUUAUGGUAAAGAGUUGCAGAAAUCAGAGGAUCUGCAAACCAACGCCUGCGUCACCUUGGCUAGGCCUUUGCCCACGUUCAUAAAGGAGGCUCUGAAGUGUGUCCAUGAUGAUGUUGUGUCAAGGUACUAUGGCUGCGGCCUGGUGAUCCCAGAGUGCCUGGAGACCUGUUGGAUAUUGGAUCUGGGGAGUGGGAGUGGCAGGGAUUGCUAUAUGCUGAGUAAACUAGUUGGGGAGAAAGGGCAUGUCACUGGAAUAGACAUGACCGACACCCAGGUAGAAGUGGCAAAGAAGCACAUUGACUAUCACAUGAAGAAAUUUGGCUACCAGGUGCCUAACGUGGACUUCAUCCAUGGCUACAUGGAAAAGCUGGGAGAUGCUGGCCUUAAAGAUGAGAGUUAUGAUAUAGUUAUCUCAAACUGCGUGAUUAACCUCUCGCCUGAUAAGAGAGCAGUCCUGCAGGAGGCCUAUCGAGUGCUAAAGGCUGGUGGAGAGAUGUAUUUCAGCGAUGUCUAUGCCAGCUGUGACCUGCCUGAGGACAUCAGGAAACACAGGGUCCUCUGGGGCGAGUGCCUGGGAGGAGCCCUGUGGUGGAAGGACCUCUACAGAAUUGCUGAGGAAGUUGGAUUCUGCCCACCACGCUUGGUGACCGCCAGCCGAAUAACCAUCAAUAACAAGGAACUGGAGAGUGUUGUUGGUGACUGUCAGUUUGUCUCUGCAACUUUCCGUCUCUUCAAAGUACCCAAGAAAGGCCCGGCCGAGCGGUGCCAGGUUAUUUACAACGGCGGGAUCACUGGGCAUGAGAAAGAGCUGGAGUUUGAUGCCAAUUUCACAUUCAAGGAAGGGGAGGUUGUGGAAGUGGAUGCAGAAACUGCAGCCAUUUUACAGAGCUCCAGGUUUGCCGAGGAGUUCCUGAUCCGACUGGCUGCAGGGAGGGCACCUGGGGGCUGUUGUCCUGCAAAAGUAAAGGAGAAGAUCGUUGAUCCGUUCCAAUUAGUGGAGCAUCUGGAAGCAAAGGACCUCGCUCCCAAGCCAGCGGGCUGCUGCGGCCCCAAAGGGUGCUGCUGAAAAGCUGAGUAUCUAGCAGCAGGAGCCAGCAGAGCAGAGGCUGAAGGAUCAGAGCUGUUUUUGUUACUCAUCGCUGAACAGCAAUUAAAAAUUAAUAGCGGGGGUAAUGAAGCUGAGCACUUCACGGCUUCACAGCACUGCGCAGAAUAUGGGGAUCAGUGAGGUUCUACCGUAUGUACAUCACCACUGAAAAGCAGCCACCUCAGGGGUGGAGACAGACAGCUACUGGUGCCCAGCAACAGAGGGAGAGGGAACACUUUGGCCAAAGACACUGGGCAAGCCCCUUACUUGGAAAGAGUCCUACAAUCUUCAACGUCCAUGCAGAAUUAGCCUUUUAUGAUCUCAUACAAAGAACCCCACCCAGUUGAUUUACCUUGGAAGGCCGGGCUCAGCCAGCCCUGCAGCGAUUCAACUCCACAGCUGUGGGAGAGUCUAGGUUCUAUGGAGCUAGGGGACGAGAGCUCAGGAAGCGUGGCUGAACUUUGUGACUUUGUCCUCACCCACGACUAUUUCACAUUUGGGGACAAUGUAUACCUUCAAGUCAGUGGCACUGCUAUGGGUACCCGCAUGGCCCCACAGUAUGCCAACAUCUUUAUG